AUGGGGUGCGCGCAGUCGCGGAUCGAGAACGAGGAGGCGGUGGCGCGAUGCAAGGAGCGCCGCCAGUACAUGAAGGCGGCCGUGGCGGCGCGCAACGCCUUCGCCGCCGCGCACUCCGCCUACGCCUUCUCGCUGCGGGACACGGGCGCCGCGCUCUCCGAGUUCGCGCACGGGGAGGGGGUGCCGCCGCCGCCGCCCCCGGCCGCCGCGGAGCCGUCCAAGGCCGCCAGGCUCUCGGCCGGCGGGACCGGCCCGGCCGCCCCGGGGGCCGCGGCCGCGACUUCCGCGGACGCGGCGGUGGAGGAGGCAAUGCCGCCGCCGCCGCCCCUCGACUCGCUGCCCCCGCCACCGCCGCCGCUGCCGGUGUUCUCGCCCUCCCCGGCGAAGAUCCACCGCUCCAUGAGCAUGCCCAUGGCGCCCAAGGCCGUCGCGAGGGGGAGGGGCCCCGCCAUGCUCCACAGCGACUCCAUUAGGGAGGAGGACGAUGAGGCGGACAUGGAGGAGGAGGAAGACGAGGAGGACGAUGCCCGUCUCGAUGACCGCCGCCGGAGGCUGCGCCAUCGCCAGCAGGUGCCGCCCGUCUCGCCGCCGCCUCCGGAGACGCCGGUGACCCCCCAGCCACCACCGCCGCCUCCCCCUCCCCCGCCCCCGCCCCCGAUUGACCCCAAGACCGGGGUUGACACGUGGGAUUACUUCUUCUCCAUGGAAGAGGGAAUGGCGUCUAUUGCCACCGAGGACGAGGAGAUCGUCCCGGAGCCGGAGGACGAGAAGUACGUUCCUGCCUCGCCACCGCGUCCUCCGUCCUCGCCCCCUCCCCAAGCGGUUGUGCCGCCACGGGAGGAGUAUGAGGAGGAGCCGCGCACACCGGAGAUGGUCACACCGCCUCCGUCGCUUCCGCCAAAGGCUCCUGGACAGUCCAAGAAGAAGAAGGGCAAGGGCAAGGGGAAGGGGAAGAAUAAGUCUGCGCACCACCAGCACACUGAGUCCGCGCCGCCGGUCACGGUGGUCGGCGGCUGGGGGAAGGCGGGGAAGGUUGUCCCCGCCGAGGUGCCACGCGUAGACCUGCUGCAGGUGCUUGCGGAGAUCGACGACAGGUUCUUGAAGGCGUCGGAGAGCGCCGGGGAGGUUUCCAAGGCGCUGGAGGCGAACAGGAUGCACUACCAUUCCAAUUUCGCCGACACUAGAGGGCAUAUUGAUCAUUCUGCUAGAGUUAUGAAAAUAAUAACAUGGAAUAGAUCCUUCAGAAGCAUGCAAAAUGGUGAUGAUGGGAAGGAUGAAUUUGAAAAUGAUGAAGAGGAGACUCUGGCAACUGUCAUAGACAAAAUUUUAGCCUGGGAGAAAAAGCUGUAUGACGAAGUGAAGGCUGGUGAGAUUAUGAAGCUUGAGUAUCAGCGGAAGGUUGCUUUGUUAAAUAGACAAAAGAGAAAUAAUGCUGCUGUUGAGGUUCUGGAGAAAACUAAAGCUGCUGUAACCCAUUUGCAUACAAGAUACAUAGUUGAUAUGCAAUCAAUGGAUUCAACUGUCUCAGAGAUUCAGCAUCUCCGUGAUAAUCAACUUUAUCCAAAACUGCUGGAUCUUGCUGAUAGGCUGGCAAAAAUGUGGGAAGAUAUGCACAUGAAUCAUGCGAACCAGCUGAAAACUGUGUUGGAUCUCAAGUCAGUUGACAUUUCUGAUUCCAGCAUCGAAACAAGUGCGCAUCACCACAGCCACACGCGUCAGCUGCAUGAUAUUGUAGACAAGUGGAACACAAACUUUAGUGAUCUCAUGAGCUAUCAGAAGGAGUACAUAAAUGCUCUCUACAGCUGGUUGAAAUUGAACCUUAUACCUAUAGAGAGCAGCUUAAAGGAGAAAGUAGCAUCGCCACCAAGGGUGCAGCAACCUCCUGUGAAGGCUCUCCUCCAAGCAUGGAAUGAGCAACUAGCCAAGCUGCCCGAUGACCUUGCCAGGCAUGCCAUCGUUAGCUUCCGGGCGGUCCUGGAAACCAUACUAGGUGUUCAAGACGAGGAGUUGAAGAAAAAGGAGGCCUGUGAACAAAUCCACAAGGAAUACGUGCGCAAGGCUCGGGCGUUUGAGGAGUGGUAUCACAAACAUGGACAGCGCAGGACAUUUGAUGACCCGGAGAGCGGUGAGGGGACAAGCCAGAAGGAUGCGAUCUCGGAGAAGAGAUUUGCCGUGGAAAGCUUGAAAAGCAAGCUGGAUAACGAGGUCGAGGCCCAUAACAAGCUGUCGAAGCAAGUUCGGGAGAAAUCCCUUUCGAUCCUGAGGGCGCACCUGCCGGAGCUGUUCCGUGCCCUGACCGACUUCUCCCAUGCUACUGCCGAAAUGCACUCGAAGCUGAGACUGAAUGCACUCAUGCAGGAUCAAGGUAGUGGUAACAACUAG
rnacentral:rRNA from 1 species